rnacentral:misc_RNA from 1 species
CAUUUUGGUGUGCAGCGGUUCCGUGGUUCCUUGCUGGUGUCAAAUUACUUCCAGGCACAAACUUGUGAUGUGGCAAGAACGCUUUUAAACUAAAGUUUUUGCAUGCAGUUUUGGACAGUACCCGCGUCUCGUGGUUUUUAUGUAGAUAUUGUAAAAACCUUUGGGUUUAAUUAGCAAGCAGACGACGUGAUUUAAAUCUUGGAUAAUUAUCAGAAUGUUUUGGAAUUUUCUGCCAGUGGUUGGUUUGCUGGUAUUUUUUGUACCAAAUCCAUCAGAAUCCAAGUCCGGUAAUGGUCUUAUUGUUAUGACCGUCGCUACUUCCGAGACCGAUGGCUUCAAGAGGUUCAUGGCAUCCACCAAGAAAUACGGAUUAGAUGUCAAGGUUUUAGGUCUUGGUGAGAAGUGGGAUGGAGGGGAUGUGGCGAGAUACGCUGGUGGAGGACACAAAAUUAAUCUGCUGAUCAAUGGACUGAAGAAAUACAAGAAAAAGGAUAAGCAACUCAUUAUGUUUGUUGACAGUUAUGAUGUUGUCUUCACUGAUGGAGCACCAGCCAUCUUGGAAAAGUUCGUCAAGUUUGAUGCUCGUGUUUUGUUUUCUGCAGAAGGCUUUUGCUGGCCUGAUUCAAAACUUGCGAAAGAUUACCCUCCUGUAAAAAUUACUGAGAAGAGGUUUCUUAACUCUGGUGGAUUUAUUGGUUAUGCUAGUGACCUGUAUGAAAUUGUGACACACUCCAAAGUGAACAACAAAGAUGAUGACCAACUAUAUUACACCAAGAUCUUCCUAAACGAAUCACUCAGGGAUAAGUGGGCUAUUAAGCUGGACACAAGAUCUGACAUUUUCCAGAAUCUCAAUGGGGCUCUCGCUGAUACAAACAUCAAGUUCAAGGGAUCCCACAGUUACCUGUACAACCUUCUGUCGGGCACCACCCCCAUCGUCAUCCAUGGGAACGGACCAAUAAAAGUUGAGUUCAACCGGAUGGCCAACUACCUGGCUGAUGGGUGGACACAGAGCUCUGGCUGUCUGUCGUGUCAGGAGGAUACGAUCAGCUUGGAAGGCCUGAAGGAAUCCGACUAUCCGACUGUGGUGAUGGCUCUGUUUGUCGAACACAACACUGUUUUCAUCGAGGAAUACUUCCAACGGAUCUCUGAACUGAACUACCCUAAAGACAAAAUUGAUGUCUUCAUUCAUAACGGCAUGGUGCGGCAUACAAAAGAUGUAUCAAGAUUCGUAGAGAAAAACAAGGAUCUGUAUAAUUCCUUGAAUUCCAUCGGGCCGUAUGACGACAUUGUUGAAUCAAUGGCACGAAACUGGGCUGUGGAGGAGUGUAUAAAGAAGAGCUGUAACUAUCUGUUUGUUGUCGACUCGGACGCUCAGCUUGUGAACCAAGACACGCUGCAGGUUCUUAUUCAGCAAAACAGAACUGUGAUUGCACCAUUGUUGGUUCGUCCUGCCAAAUUGUGGUCAAACUUCUGGGGUGCCAUAGGUGACAAUGGAUUCUAUGCACGGUCAAUGGAUUACCAUGAAAUAGUGGAAUUAACCAAAAGAGGAUUGUGGAAUGUUCCUUUUGUAAGCAUCUCCUACCUGAUCCAAGGUCAUCGUUUGAAAGAGAUGAGGGACGCAUUUACAGAGUACGACAUGGAUCCAGACAUGUCUUUCUGCAGACUUCUCAGAGAACAGGGAACGUUUAUGUUUGUAACAAACCAAGUACAUUUUGGACACCAGACGAAUAGCGACGGUUAUGAUACAACACAUCUUCAUGAAGAACUUUACCAGAUCUUUGAAAAUGAGCUGGAUUGGAGUAAUCGCUACGUCCACGAGAAUUAUUCACGACAGUUAGAGGCAGGAUACGUCAAUGAACAACCGUGUCCCGAUGUGUUUUGGUUUGCUAUGUUCACACCUCAGUACUGUAAUCAACUAGUGGAGGAAAUGGAAAACUACGGCCAGUGGUCUGGUGGAAAAAACAAGGAUCCCCGUCUCCCCGGCGGAUACGAAAACGUUCCCACAGUCGAUAUUCACAUGCGUCAGAUUGGAAUGGAGAAACACUGGCUUCACUUUUUGAAAGUCUACAUUAUGCCGUUGCAGCAGAAAGAAUUCAUAGGAUAUUUUUCCGAUCCACCUACUGCGUUGAUGAAUUUCGUAGUGAGAUACCGGCCAGAUGAACAGCCAUUUUUGAGACCGCAUCACGAUUCAUCUACCUACACGAUCAACUUAGCUCUGAACAGAGUCAAUGUAGAUUUUGAGGGCGGUGGUUGCCGAUUCAUCCGCUACAACUGCAGCGUCACAUCCCUGCGACAAGGGUGGAUGUUCAUGCACCCUGGCCGUCUGACGCACUACCAUGAAGGACUCCACGUUACCAAGGGAACGAGAUACAUCAUGGUCUCCUUCGUGGAUCCUUAAAUCGGUGGCCGUUCAUGUACCAAAGAAUCUUUUAGUGAAGAAGUAACAAUCUGUUCACUAUGAUUGGUACUAAAUUUUAUAGCAAAAGUGUGUUGCUAUGGUAACAUUAGUACUAAAUUUUCUUGUAGCAAGCACUGGUGCGAAAUAUUGUAGCCAAAGUGUGUUGCUAUGGUAACAUUAGUACUAAAUUUUCUUGUAGCAAGCACUGGUGCGAAAUAUUGUAGCCAAAGUGUGUUGCUAUGGUAACACUGGUGCACAAUAUUGUAGCAAACGUGUGUUACCAUAGCAAUACUGGUGCUUAAAAGAUACAGUUUGAUGAGGAUGUACUAUUCUUUGUAGAUCUAUGAAUACAGAGAGUAUUUGAAAAUUGGUGCUAAUAUUUCUACGGAAUAUACAAUUAAUGUGUUCAAUGUUUCAAUGAAAUGAUAAAAACCAAAAUAAUGUCUGAUUAAUCUUGUCUUUUAGUUAUUAUUAGCUGCUUUUUUGGAUUCUUAUAUCUAUUUUUUAAUGCCUCCUUCAUACAAAUAUGUUAUUGUAAUAUUGUUACUUUACAUAAAAUGUUAUUUUUUAUUUUGUGUGGCUUAACUAUAAAAUGGUCCUGUUCUCAUCCAAUCAUUCUUUAAAAAUGCCAAUUUUUUUAUUUAUUGUUGAAUAAAUAAAUUGUCUAAAUAGUAUUCGAAUGUUUGUUGUUUAGACUCAUUUUUAAUAGCAUAUUUAAACAUAAUAAAUUUUAUACUAUUACACUGGUUGUAGUUGUUUGCUUGAACAAUUGUCAGAAGGUCAUGUUCUGGACUCCAUUGUGUACAGAGAUACGACUGAAUAAUUGUGUUACUACUGUAUCUUACUAAAAUAGUGUAAAUGAGAUCUCUCACCACAAGUAGUUUUUGCAGCUAUGCAUUUAUUCCUUAUACAAACCACAUUGUUUAUUUUUAAAACCAAUAAUGCAAGCAGAUUGUAAAUAGAAGAAAUGUUUUUGGGGGAAGGGUAUACAUAGAUUAUAUCAAAUGUUGCUUUUUGUAAUGGGUGUUGGUUUCUGUAUCAUGUUUAUAUGUUUGUGAAAUAUCUUCUAUUAUUUAGGCAGAAGAUACUAAAAUUAAAGGCACUGAAUUAAAAAACCCAUAUGAAAUAUUUCAAAGACAUUUCAUUGAAUUCAAGUUAUAAAGGGACUCUAAGAAUUUUGUUUAAAAAAGAAGAAGAAGAUAUUGGGAACUAAAAUGAAGUUUGACCUAGUACAAAUUUUUAGAACAAUCAGAAAAGCAUUUAAUAUAUAGACAACAUUAAAGCAUGUGUAUGUUAAGCAUUUGUGUAGCCCUACUAUGUAACACAUGCUGCAAAUUUUUGCUACAACUGCUUUUAAACACACAUUUAUGAUUACUAUUUUUAUUGGUGUAAUUUAGAUUUUUCUAAACAAAACUAUAUUUUUAAUUUUUUUAUUGUAAACCUAGGGAAUCUGAUUAUUAUUAGGGAUCAACAUUUCUAAGCUGGACUGGAAAUGAAGAUAGGACCUUUAACAGUGGGGUUUUUUUUUCGUUUCUCAAGUUUUUUUGUUGUUGUUUUUUUAAAUGAUAAUACCGGUACAGUAGUUUAUUUAGAACCAAUGGUUAGAAAAAAACUUUGACCUCUUUGAAUUUAACAGGGUUUUUUAUUUUUUAUUUUUUUAUUAUUAUUAUAUUAACUAUAUAAUUUUCUUUUAAAAAUAAUGAUGAUAGUUUUGUUAUUAUUAUUAUUAUAAUAAUAUGCCUACAAUCAAAGGUCAUGCAACAAUAAACCAGGUUGUGAUUUAAUGAAUAAAAUUCACCAAAUUCAAACUUAAAUUGUGCAAAUAUUUUCAUAAUAAAUUUUCCCAAAAUACGUAUUUCAGAACUGGUUUGUAUAGACUGUUUUGUGUUUGAUGCAGACAAAUUGUCUACACACUUUCAUAUUGGCUAAAUUGCAAACAAUCUAUAGUUUUUCAAGUUACACUUUGGAAUUAAUUCUAAGUGUGAAUUUUAAAUCUGAGCUAGAUGUAAAAACUGUAGAUAAAUAGCAUUUCCUAGGUCUGAUACAUGUACCCAAAUUAUAUUUUCAGACAGAGAAGCUUUUUAUGUAUGUAUUAACAAACAAUGUAUACUUGUUUUACAUUCUGUGCCAAAUAUCUUGCUGUUGUGAAAAUGCUCAUAUACUUGUCUACUUAACAUUUACAUUAUAUACGUUCGCUUUACUGCCAAACUUACAGAUAUUAAUUCAGUAGUUAGAGAAUUCAGUCACAUUUCAGUCAACAGCCACCUGAAUAUAAAAAUGAUCUCUUUGGACAGGUGGCUGUUUAAAGGGACUGUCCCGAGUUUGCUUCUAUUGUGAGAUGUUGCUGACUGAUAAAAUAUUUUAACGAUGAAAAUUACAUUCUGAAUAUAUUUUCUUGUUUAGAAUAUCAGUGUCUGGAUAUUCAAUGUUUUUCUGGUCAUCAUCUUAAUUUGUGUACGUUUUCUUUCCACCUUUUUUUUUUAAAGUUGUGUUCACACUGUGCAACUUACAGUAACAAUAUACAGCAUGAAAGCGACAGUGUGUUAAGCAUUUAUAUAGGUCUACCAUGAAUCAUGUGCUGCAAAUUGAUUUGGUUUGCCAAUAAUUUUGUAGGUACAAAAAAAGAAGAACUAAAAUGAAUUUUGACCUAGUACAAAUUUUAAAACAAUCGGAAACGCAUACAAUAUAUAGAGACACUAGAUUAUUUUAUGCUGAAAAUAAAAUAUAUUUUAAAUGUGUAUUUUAGUCUGUUAUUCAGCAACAUCUUAACAAAACACAAAACUGAGUAUAGGUAGUACUAAACCAAAUAACUUCCGGCUGGGUCAAAGUCCGAGGUGCACCGAACUUUUGAUAGAGAAGUGAACACCACAAGUCCUGUGAUUGGUUAUAAAUGU